rnacentral:rRNA from 1 species
UACGAAGGGUGCAAGCGUUGUUCGGAUUUAUUGGGCGUAAAGCGCGCGUAGGCGGACCUGUAAGUCAGAUGUGAAAUCUCGGGGCUCAACCCCGAAACUGCGUCUGAAACUGCAGGUCUAGAAUCUUGGAGGGGGAAGGGGAAUUUCGCAUGUAGGGGUAAAAUCCGUAGAUAUGCGAAGGAACACCAGGGGCGAAGGCGCCUUCCUGGACAAGUAUUGACGCUGAGGCGCGAAAGCCAGGGGAGCAAACGGG